CUACCAGGUCACGGAUAUACGAAAGAAAAGUUUAGAGUUUUCCCCUCAAGUAAUUACUUCACACUGCGACAAGUAUUGGGUUCUUCGGGGUUUUUCAAGAGGCAAAAUCUUUCGACUUGUCGAGAUUUCCGAGUAAAAGAGGAUCGACUGAGGAAAAUUCCACGUGCAGAAGCUUCGUACAAGGACGUUCAGCUUUUCAGGCAGAUAGCUUUUUAAGCUUCUUCUUGCAGCUCGUUUCGCUCAACGUACGUAAACGCCAAAGUUAAAGAGGCGGCGGACCAUGGCAAUUAUGCGUUCGACCGACGAAAAACGGAUAUGCAGGUGGUCGAAGGACGAAGUAGCAGCAAUUCUCCGAAUUGAAAUAGAAAUAUUCCAACAUUUCAAUUUAAAGGCGCAAAAAUACAAAAACACGUAUAAGCUGGAAAAAUCAUAUUUAUCAAAAUGUAGAUGAUUUUUAUCAUCCAACAUCUUCUUCCAUUGUAGCUAAUCAACAGAUGUUGCAACAGACACGCGAUACGUCCAUAAAGCGCAGCACCAAGUGGCAUAAAAAUAACAUAGCGCGGGGAUUCGCGGUUUCAGCCGCGUCGAAUUUCUCAAGCAGAAGCGCCAUUACCAGCGGCCCCCAUAAAAUAAGUUGCAGGAUCGCGGCUCCGUACGACCAAACCUCGUGGCAGCUCUAACCGAACAACCAGUUUAACCCAAGCAUAUCGCCGCAAAAGAAGGCAGACUCGCAUUGUCUCCGUGCUCUCGUUCCGGCCGUUUUCCAUCGUCCACGCACGGCUUUUGUCGACAGAUCUGCGUAGGGGUGGAACGCGUAAAAAUACGACGAACAAGGGGAGGGGACAGGCAUUGUUCCAAAAGUUAGGCUCGCCGCGUGCAGCAUGCACGAAAUCCGCAAAGAUGCAGACCACCCAGGUCGUCUGACGCCUCUGCCGUAUCCUCAACGGAAUUGACUUAGCGGAAUCCGGGGCGAGGGACGUAAGGACAGGGGACAACGAAAACGGAAAAGAGAGGGAGGAGAAGGAGGGGGCUAGGAAAGAGAGAGGGCCGGCUCGUAUGAUCACGACUCCCCACGUUGGCCAUUGCAAAGCGAAUGUGGGGCGCCUGCUCGCUUUGUCAUUCGCUACGUUUUGCUGGCUUCUUGAAAAACUACCUCGGCAUCUAUUUACUGUCGGAUGAUAAUCAGCAUGGUCCUUGGGAAUAGAAGAAUUCCAGUGAGAGAUAAGCAGCGGACGAGCACGAGACCCGAUGUCUUAGUUUUGAGAAGCGACGAGUGU